UACGAAGGUGGCAAGCGUUGUUCGGAUUUACUGGGCGGACAGGGAGCGUAGGCGGUUGGAUAAGCCCUCCGUGAAAUCUCCAGGCUUAACCUGGAAAGUGCAGAGGGGACUGUUCAGCUAGAGGAUGGGAGAGGAGCGCGGAAUUCCCGGUGUAGCGGUGAAAUGCGUAGAGAUCGGGAGGAAGGCCGGUGGCGAAGGCGGCGCUCUGGAACAUUUCUGACGCUGAGGCUCGAAAGCGUGGGGAGCAAACAGG
rnacentral:rRNA from 1 species